rnacentral:rRNA from 1 species
GACGAACGCUGGCGGCGUGCCUAAUACAUGCAAGUCGAGCGGAAGUUGGAGAGCUUGCUCUUCAACUUUAGCGGCGGACGGGUGAGUAACACGUGGGCAACCUGCCCUGCAGAUCGGGAUAACUCCGGGAAACCGGUGCUAAUACCGAAUAGUUUUCGCCACCUCCUGGUGGCGUACGGAAAGACAGUUUCGGCUGUCACUGCAGGAUGGGCCCGCGGCGCAUUAGCUAGUUGGUGGGGUAACGGCCCACCAAGGCGACGAUGCGUAGCCGACCUGAGAGGGUGAGCGGCCACACUGGGACUGGGACACGGCCCAGACUCCUACGGGAGGCAGCAGUAGGGAAUCUUCCGCAAUGGACGAAAGUCUGACGGAGCAACGCCGCGUGAGUGACGAAGGUUUUCGGAUCCUAAAACUCUGUUGUGAGGGAAGAACAAGUACCACUUAACUACUGGUACCUUGACGGUACCUCACCAGAAAGCCACGGCUAACUACGUGCCAGCAGCCGCAGUAAAAC